UACGGAAGGCAGCAGUGGGGAAUAUUGCACAAUGGGCGCAAGCCUGAUGCAGCCAUGCCGCGUGUAUGAAGAAGGCCUUCGGGUUGUAAAGUACUUUCAGUCGUGAGGAAGGUGUUAAGGUUAAUAACCUUAGCAAUUGACGUUAGCGACAGAAGAAGCACCGGCUAACUCCGUGCCAGCAGCCGCGGUAAUACGGAGGGUGCGAGCGUUAAAUCGGAAUUACUGGGCGUAAAGGGCACGCAGGCGGUUAAUUAAGUUGGAUGUGAAAUCCCCGGGCUUAACCUGGGAAUGGCAUUCAAGACUGGUUAGCUAGAGUCUUGUAGAGGGGGUAGAAAUUCCAUGUGUAGCGGUGAAAUGCGUAGAGAUGUGGAGGAAAUACCGGUGGCGAAAGGCGGCCCCUGGACAAAGACUGACGCUCAUGUGCGAAAGCGUGGGGAGCAAAACAGGGAUUAGAUACC
rnacentral:rRNA from 1 species